AUGCCUUGGCACUAGAAGCCGAUGAAGGACGUUACUAACGACGAUAUGCUUUGGGUAGCUGUAAGUAAGCGUUGAUCCAGAGAUUUCCGAAUGGGGGAACCCAGCAUGAGUUAUGUCAUGUUAUCGACAUGUGAAUUCAUAGCAUGUCAGAAGGCAGACCCGGAGAACUGAAACAUCUUAGUACCCGGAGGAAGAGAAAGAAAAAUCGAUUCCCUGAGUAGCGGCGAGCGAAACGGGAAGAGCCCAAACCAACAAGCUUGCUUGUUGGGGUUGUAGGACACUCUAUACGGAGUUACAAAAGAACAUGUUAGACGAAUCAUCUGGAAAGAUGAAUCAAAGAAGGUAAUAAUCCUGUAGUCGAAAACAUAUUCUCUCUUGAGUGGAUCCUGAGUACGACGGAGCACGUGAAAUUCCGUCGGAAUCUGGGAGGACCAUCUCCUAAGGCUAAAUACUCUCUAGUGACCGAUAGUGAACCAGUACCGUGAGGGAAAGGUGAAAAGUACCCCGGAAGGGGAGUGAAAGAGAACUUGAAACCGUGUGCUUACAAGUAGUCAGAGCCCGUUAAUGGGUGAUGGCGUGCCUUUUGUAGAAUGAACCGGCGAGUUACGAUCUGAUGCAAGGUUAAGCAGCAAAUGUGGAGCCGCAGCGAAAGCGAGUCUGAAUAGGGCGUUGAGUAUUUGGUCGUAGACCCGAAACCAGGUGAUCUACCCUUGGUCAGGUUGAAGUUCAGGUAACACUGAAUGGAGGACCGAACCGACUUACGUUGAAAAGUGAGCGGAUGAACUGAGGGUAGCGGAGAAAUUCCAAUCGAACUUGGAGAUAGCUGGUUCUCUCCGAAAUAGCUUUAGGGCUAGCCUCAAGUGAUGAUUAUUGGAGGUAGAGCACUGUUUGGACGAGGGGCCCCUCUCGGGUUACCGAAUUCAGACAAACUCCGAAUGCCAAUUAAUUUAACUUGGGAGUCAGAACAUGGGUGAUAAGGUCCGUGUUCGAAAGGGAAACAGCCCAGACCACCAGCUAAGGUCCCAAAAUAUAUGUUAAGUGGAAAAGGAUGUGGCGUUGCCCAGACAACUAGGAUGU
rnacentral:rRNA from 1 species